rnacentral:rRNA from 1 species
AUACGUAGGGGGCGAGCGUUGUCCGGAAUGAUUGGGCGUAAAGGGCGCGUAGGCGGCCCGGUAAGUCUGGAGUGAAAGUCCUGUUUUUAAGAUGGGAAUUGCUUUGGAUACUGUCGGGCUUGAGUGCAGGAGAGGUAAGUGGAAUUCCCAGUGUAGCGGUGAAAUGCGUAGAGAUUGGGAGGAACACCAGUGGCGAAGGCGACUUACUGGACUGUAACUGACGCUGAGGCGCGAAAGUGUGGGGAGCAAACAGGAUUAGAUACCCUGGUAGUCCACACUGUAAACGAUGAAUGCUAGGUGUAGGGGGUGUCGACCCCUUCUGUGCCGCAGUCAACACAAUAAGCAUUCCGCCUGGGGAGUACGGCCGCAAGGUUGAAACUCAAAUGAAUUGGCGGGG